rnacentral:rRNA from 1 species
GGUGCAUGGUUGUCGUCAGCUCGUGUCGUGAGAUGUUGGGUUAAGUCCGCAACGAGCGCAACCCUUAUCCCUAGUUGCCAUCAGGUAAAGCUGGGAACUCUGGGGAGACUGCCGGUGAUAAACCGGAGGAAGGCGGGGAUGACGUCAAGUCCUCAUGGCCCUUACAUCCCGGGCUACACACGUGCUACAAUGGCAGGUACAGAGGGCUGCGAAGCCGCGAGGUGGAGCGAAUCCCAGAAAACCUGUCUCAGUCCGGAUUGAAGUCUGCAACUCGACUUCAUGAAGGCGGAAUCGCUAGUAACCGCGAAUCAGCAGGUCGCGGUGAAUACGUUCCCGGGCCUU